rnacentral:tRNA from 1 species
GUGGUUGUGGCUCAGUGUUAGAGUGCUCGACUAGCAUGUGUGAGGCUCUGGGUUAGAUCCUCAGCACCACA